rnacentral:lncRNA from 1 species
UUUUGUGCUGUGACGAUACUUAUGUGGACUAGAGUUUCUGAUAUGGGAAUCUUCAUCCAUAAUUUGAUUACAAACCCUUGGCUGUCUGAGCACAUAUCAUGAAAAUUUGAUCUUGAUUCUUCUCUGUUAAUUCUUUGAUUAUGAUGAUAAUAUACUUUAUCUUAGCGGAUUUCAGUGAGGUUUUAUAUCGAUGAUCUGAAUGUUACACACACUGAGGCCAUUAUUGCUAUUUUUAUAGAAACAUCAAUAGCUUUUUAUUUUGGUUUUAUUACUUUGAUUUUUUUGUUUGUGUUUAAUUGGUGCGAUGAUGAGAUUAAAACACCAAGGAAGUGUUUGUGGGCAGUGGACAUAAUUAUAAUGGUUUUGCCGUGAGCCUAUUUUUAAAACGACUUCUCCUUCCACUGAGCACC